rnacentral:rRNA from 1 species
AUGAACGCUGGCGGCGUGCCUAAUACAUGCAAGUCGAGCGAACAGACGAGGAGCUUGCUCCUCUGACGUUAGCGGCGGACGGGCGAGUAACACGUGGAUAACCUACCUAUAAGACUGGGAUAACUUCGGGAAACCGGAGCUAAUACCGGAUAAUAUAUUGAACCGCAUGGUUCAAUAGUGAAAGACGGUUUUGCUGUCACUUAUAGAUGGAUCCGCGCCGCAUUAGCUAGUUGGUAAGGUAACGGCUUACCAAGGCGACGAUGCGUAGCCGACCUGAGAGGGUGAUCGGCCACACUGGAACUGAGACACGGUCCAGACUCCUACGGGAGGCAGCAGUAGGGAAUCUUCCGCAAUGGGCGAAAGCCUGACGGAGCAACGCCGCGUGAGUGAUGAAGGUCUUCGGAUCGUAAAACUCUGUUAUUAGGGAAGAACAAAUGUGUAAGUAACUAUGCACGUCUUGACGGUACCUAAUCAGAAAGCCACGGCUAACUACGUG